UCUAGCUCUCACGAGCUAGGCUAAAUCAUGGCGUGCUUUCAGCACU
rnacentral:ncRNA from 1 species